AUUGAACGCUGGCGGCAUGCUUUACACAUGCAAGUCGAACGGUAACAGGCCGCAAGGUGCUGACGAGUGGCGAACGGGUGCGUAAUGCAUCGGAACGUGCCCAGUCGUGGGGGAUAACUACUCGAAAGAGUAGCUAAUACCGCAUACGAUCUAUGGAUGAAAGCGGGGGACCGUAAGGCCUCGCGCGAUUGGAGCGGCCGAUGUCAGAUUAGGUAGUUGGUGGGGUAAAGGCUCACCAAGCCAACGAUCUGUAGCUGGUCUGAGAGGACGACCAGCCACACUGGGACUGAGACACGGCCCAGGCUCCUACGGGAGGCAGCAGUGGGGAAUUUUGGACAAUUGGCGCAAGCCUGGUCCAACAAUGCCGCGUGCAGGAAGAAGGCCUUCGGGUUGUAAACUGCUUUUGUACGGAACGAAACGGCUCUGGUUAAUACCCGGGGCUAAUGACGGUACCGUAAGAAUAAGCACCGGCUAACUACGUG
rnacentral:rRNA from 1 species